rnacentral:rRNA from 1 species
CGGCUCAGUAACACGUGGAUAACCUACCCUUGAGACGGGGAUAAACCCGGGAAACUGGGUAUAAUACCCGAUAGAUCUCGACUGCUGGAAUGCAUCGAGCUUGAAAGCUCCGGCGCUCAAGGAUGGGUCUGCGGCCUAUCAGGUAGUAGUGGGUGUAGCGUACCUACUAGCCUACGACGGGUACGGGUUGUGAGAGCAAGAGCCCGGAGAUGGAUUCUGAGACACGAAUCCAGGCCCUACGGGGUGCAGCAGGCGCGAAAACUUUACAAUGCUGGAAACAGCGAUAAGGGGACCUCGAGUGCCAGGUUACAAAUCUGGCUGUCGUGAUGCCUAAAAAGCAUUGCAUAGCAAGGGCCGGGCAAGACCGGUGCCAGCCGCCGCGGUAACACCGGCGGCUCGAGUGGUAACCGUUAUUAUUGGGUCUAAAGGGUCUGUAGCCGGCCGGAUAAGUCUCUUGGGAAAUCUGGCAGCUUAACUGUCAGGCUUUCAGGAGAUACUGUCUGGCUCGAGGCCGGGAGAGGUGAGAGGUACUUCAGGGGUAGGGGUGAAAUCUUGUAAUCCUUGAAG